CUUCCUUCGGUGGUACCGUCAGCUGCUUCUAGAGCAGGUUUCUUCCCACCAGACAGGGCUUUACGACCCGAAGGCCUUCUUCACCCACGCGACGUUGCUGCGUCAGGCUUUCGCCCAUUGCGCAAUAUUCCCC
rnacentral:rRNA from 1 species